GACCUGCUGGUGAAUGGUUCACAUCCACCCUUCUUGGCAAAGUCCUGCAAUGCAGUAAGAUCGAAUGUAACUGUCACUGUACGGUGGGAGUCCCGGUUCGAUUCCGGGUUAGGUUA